UACGUAGGGGGCAAGCGUUGUCCGGAAUUAUUGGGCGUAAAGCGCGUGUAGGCGGCUCAGCAAGUCCGCUCUGAAAGCCCAGGGCUCAACCCUGGGAUGCGGGUGGAUACUGCUGAGCUCGAGUCCGGAAGAGGCGAGUGGAAUUCCUGGUGUAGCGGUGAAAUGCGCAGAUAUCAGGAGGAACACCAAUGGCGAAGGCAGCUCGCUGGGACGUGACUGACGCUGAGACGCGAAAGCGUGGGGAGCAAACAGGAUUAGAUACCCUGGUAGUCCACGCCGUAAACGAUGGGCACUAGGUGUAGGGGGUGUCGACUCCCCCUGUGCCGAAGCUAACGCAUUAAGUGCCCCGCCUGGGGAGUACGGCCGCAAGGCUAAA
rnacentral:rRNA from 1 species